rnacentral:rRNA from 1 species
AUUGAACGCUGGCGGCAGGCCUAACACAUGCAAGUCGAGCGGAUGAAGGGAGCUUGCUCCUGGAUUCAGCGGCGGACGGGUGAGUAAUGCCUAGGAAUCUGCCUGGUAGUGGGGGAUAACGUCCGGAAACGGGCGCUAAUACUGCAUACGUCCUGAGGGAGAAAGUGGGGGAUCUUCGGACCUCACGCUAUCAGAUGAGCCUAGGUCGGAUUAGCUAGUUGGUGGGGUAAAGGCCUACCAAGGCGACGAUCCGUAACUGGUCUGAGAGGAUGAUCAGUCACACUGGAACUGAGACACGGUCCAUACUCCUACGGGAGGCAGCAGUGGGGAAUAUUGGACAAUGGGCGAAAGCCUGAUCCAGCCAUGCCGCGUGUGUGAAGAAGGUCUUCGGAUUGUAAAGCACUUUAAGUUGGGAGGAAGGGCAGUAAGUUAAUACCUUGCUGUUUUGACGUUACCAACAGAAUAAGCACCGGCUAACUUCGUG